AUGAAGAAUAACGUCGCGGCGGCGGUGCCUCGGCUGGUGGCUCACCGCGAGGUCGAGAUGUUCUCGCACUACGUCGCUAAUCAAAUCGGGAUCGAGGAUCCGAACCAGUGCCCCCACCUUUGUACAAUGGCCUACGAGUACCUGAAGAAGAGCGAGGGCUACGAGCAGAAUCUGCUCGCCUUCUUCCACAACAACAUGGACCCGGACGCCCUGCUCGUGAAGCUGAUCGAGGAGCUGGACAGAUGCAUACUCGGCUACUUCUCCUUCCACUGGAAGUGUGCAACCCACGUGAUCACGCAGGUUCUGACAGCAGAGCAACCUAAACGCAAGCUCAGGAGCUUGGUGUUUGAGGCCACUAGGAAGAUGAGGUUCGAGAGGGUGACGAGAGAGCUCAAGGUGACGAGGCUCUUCUCGACUCUGAUGGAGGAGCUCAAGGUGAUCGGGAUAAGCUACCACGACAACCGGCCGCGCUACCCCCCCGCGGAGGUGAUGGUCCCGGCGGCGCAAGGCGACCGCAGCCCGGUGCUGCUCCUGAUGGGCGGCGGCAUGGGCGCCGGCAAGAGCACCGUGAUCAAAGAAAUCAUGAAGGAGAUGUUCUGGUCUGGCGCGGCGGCGAACGCGGUGGUGGUGGAGGCCGACGCGUUCAAGGAGGCGGACGUCAUCUACCAGGCCAUCAACUCCCGCGGCCACCACAACGACAUGCUGCAGACCGCCGAGCUGGUGCACCAGUCGUCGACGGACGCGGCGGCGUCGGUGCUGGUGACGGCGCUGAACGAGGGGCGGGACGUGAUCAUGGACGGCACGCUGUCGUGGGAGCCGUUCGUGCUGCAGACCGUGGCCAUGGCGCGGGAGGUGCACCAGCAGCGGUACCGCAUGGGAGCCGGGUACAAGGUGGCCGCCGACGGGACCACCACCGAGCAGUACUGGGAGGCCGUGGAGGAGGAGGAGGGCGUCGGGCCCAACUGCAGAAUGAAGCCCUACCGCAUCGAGCUCGUCGGCGUCAUCUGCGACGCCUACCUCGCCGUCAUCAGAGGGAUCAGGCGAGCCAUCAUAUGCGGGAGGGCGGUGCGGGUGACCUCGCAGCUCAGGUCCCACAAGCGGUUCGCCUCCGCCUUCCGGAGGUACUGCGACCUCGUCGACAACGCCAGGCUCUACAGCACCAACGCCGUCGGCGGCCCAAAGCUGAUAGCGUGGAAGGACGGGGGCAGCAGGCUGCUGGUGGACGUGGAGGACAUCCAGCUGCUGGACCGGGUGAGCGGCAUCAACGAGGAGGCCAACUGCGUCCACGAGCUGUACCAGAACGGCCACCCCACGGGCGGCGCCGGGUCGGUGUGGGAGGACCUGGUGACGUCGCCGGAGAGGGCGUCCAUACAGCGGGAGCUCAAGGCGGCGAUCCUCAAGAGCGAGGCCUGCUUCCCGUCCCCGUAG
rnacentral:rRNA from 1 species